CACGUAGGGCGCAAGCGUUGUCCGGAAUUAUUGGGCGUAAAGAGCUCGUAGGCGGUCUGUCGCGUCGGCUGUGAAAACCCGUGGCUCAACCCCGGGCCUGCAGUCGAUACGGGCAGACCAGAGUGCGGUAGGGGAGACUGGAAUUCCUGGUGUAGCGGUGAAAUGCGCAGAUAUCAGGAGGAACACCGGUGGCGAAGGCGGGUCUCUGGGCCGUAACUGACGCUGAGGAGCGAAAGCGUGGGGAGCGAACAGG
rnacentral:rRNA from 1 species